UAGUAUCUUCUGUAUGCCCAUCUACCCCUCUAUGGAAUAUCGACACACCUUUCCUCACUGGCCAAUUCCACCAGGAAGUGGAAUCGACACCCGGACUUGCUGAAUCUAAGGGAAAUUCAGUUGAUUUAGGUUUGGAAUCUGAGAAGCCUAUAGGCUGCUACAGUGCUUCAGUGCAGGUAAAGUAGUUGUUUUUAUGUUUGGGUGUACAAUAUUUUACUUUUUUCUGUUAAGAUUGUUAAUUUCGAUUGUCCCCGUUAUUUUGUGACACUUGAGUUAUCUAGAUGUUUUAUACUUGCAAAAUUGAAUGUUGUUCUUGGUUGUAGAUUUGUGAUCCGAGUUUGUAUUAUAUCUGCCUUU